rnacentral:lncRNA from 10 species
CAGACUGCGCCUAAGCUUCAUGAGACCUCUCCUCGUCUGCACAGACGAGUGGCCAACACUGGAGCCCAGGCUAUUGCUUCCCAGUCUGGUGGUGAAUCGUCCAUAGUCUGGUAAGCAGGGGAGCCCAGCGGCAUGCUGGAUAUGAAUGUAUCUUCAGCCUUCAAGUUACCAUUGGCCAGAGGGAAGAGUGGCCCCAAACUCUGAAGAGCGCUGGCAAGGCUCCCCAUCUUCCUCUCCCUAGCCUCCACAGGAACAUCACAGUAUGGCUUGGCAUUUUUUUUUUUUUUUUGAGACGGAGUCUCACUCUGUCACCCAGGCUGGAGUGCAGUGGUGUGAUCUCAGCUCACUGCAAGCUCUGCCUCCCGGGUUCAUGCCAUUCUCCUGCCUCAGCCUCCCGAGUAACUGGGACUACAGGCGCCCGCCACCACGCCCAGCUAAUUUUUUGUAUUUUUAGUAGAGACGGGGUUUCACUGUGUUAGCCAGGAUGGUCUCAAUCUCCUGACCUUGUGAUCUGCCCGCCUCAGCCUCCCAAAGUGCUGGGAUGACAGGCGUGAGCCACGCGCCCAGCCUGGCUUGGCAUCUUUAGGGCAGAUCUCAGUAUGCCUUGCAUUCCAAUUCAUCUCCAGAAUCCUACACUUCCUCCAAGGUCAGUCCUCAUGCGAGUCUCCAACCUCAUCCCCACUUCAUUUUCCUCAUUGUACUUACCAUCUUUUAUUCGUAUCCCACCAAAUUUUGGCUUUGUUAGCUAUACUGCAAAUAGUAGAUGCUCAAUAAACUACUAGUGAAUGAAUGAACUUGGAAAAAAAAGCUUACACAGAAAUCUGUACUGGAUGUUAUUUAAAAGAUGAAAUUUCAUGGUUCAAAUGUAUUUUUCUCCCAUAAAAAUAUUUUCUCUUCCAUUU